AUAAUAAUUUGUCUUUUAAUUAGGGGCUUGAAUGAAAGAUUUGACAUAAAAUAACUGUCUUAAUUUUUACUAAAAAAUUCAUUUUUAGUGAAAACUCUAAAAUAAAAAUAGAAGACGAUAAGACCCUUUAAAAUUUUUCUUAAUUUUAAAUUGGACUAGUCAAACCCGAAAUUAAAGAUUAAUUGGGGAGAUUUUUAUAAACUUAUAAAAACUGUAAAGAAAAAAAACACUUAUAUAUGAAUUUUAAGACCUUAAAAGAAGUUUUAAAUUAAAUUACUUUAG
rnacentral:rRNA from 1 species